GACGUAGGGCGCGAGCGUUGUCCGGAUUUAUUGGGCGUAAAGAGCUCGUAGGCGGCUUGUUGCGUCGACUGUGAAAACCUGCGGCUCAACCGUGUGGUCUGCAUUCGAUACUGGAUGGCUAGAGUUCGGCAGAGGGAAGUGGAAUUUCAGGUGUAGCGGUGAAAUGCGUAGAUAUCUGAAGGAACAUCAGUGGCGAAAGCGACUUCCUGGACCAGAACUGACGAUCAGGCACGAAAGCGUGGGGAGCAAACAGG
rnacentral:rRNA from 1 species